AGCAGCUUGGCGCAGUGGAAGCGCGGUGAGUUUACUUUACAUUCUUCAACAAGAUGAAUUCGAGAUUCUAACUUCUCAUAGCCGGGCUCAUAACCCGGAGGUCACUGGAUCGAAACCAGUAGCUGCUA